rnacentral:lncRNA from 1 species
UCUUUGCUGCAGGCGCUUCUGCCACACCUGCCAUGUCUUGCUAAACUCUUCUUCGCCGUCAAGCAGCGAACUUGUUACGCACGCAUGCGUAUUC